rnacentral:rRNA from 1 species
UACGGAGGGUGCAAGCGUUAUCCGGAUUCACUGGGUUUAAAGGGCGCGCAGGCGGAUUUGUAAGUCAGUGGUGAAAGGCUUAAGCUUAACUUGGGAACUGCCAUUGAUACUAUAAGUCUUGAAUGUUGUUGAGGUUUGCGGAAUGGGUCAUGUAGCGGUGAAAUGCGUAGAUAUCUGGAGGAACACCGGUGGCGAAGGCGACAUCCUGGACCGACACUGACGCUGAGGAGCGAAAGCCAGGGGAGCGAACGGG